UACAGUACUUUUCAAUUAUUCGAGCUAGAUAUUCGAGAUCACUCUCAAUGAUUUUGAUAUUGAAAAUGCAUUUUGUGUGAAAGCUAAAACUCACCGUUUGCCGUGAUCGUCCGACUUCUCGCAAGAUCGGACUUGUUACCGACUACAAUCACUGAUCGUUCCUGCGUGUAGUGCUCCCUCCAUAAGUAGUUUAGGAUCUCCUCCGCAACCUGGAAGCUCGUACGGGACACGGUGGAGUAAACCACGAUGCACGCGUGCGGCUCGUAGGUGGACAAAGAAUUCUCUACCUACACGAAAUUCUUUUUCCAACUCCGGAAUCACCGAGCAGAACCACUCGAUAUUUCGAGAUCUCCUCCAUUUCUUCGCUUUCCGUGCUAUCCGCUCCCACGCCUUGUCCGCUGCAGCAGGAACCUUCGAACGGCGAUCUUUCACCCGAGACAUUGCUAUUUCUGAACAAAAUUUACCGUACAGCGACUAUUGUGUUGUCGCGUAGGAUCGAGUAGUACAGAAGCUGCGACUUAAUCGUAGGAAAUUAUCUCAAUUCGAUCUCUGUUAAGAAAUAUAGAAUGUUGUAGGGAUGAAUUGUAAAAUGCUAUAAAAAUCAUGAUUUCCACAAGACGGUCUAUGGUUUUCGCAGCUACGAGCCCUUCCAGCCCAGAUCUAUAAUUACCAUCUAUAGUUCAACCAAUCAUCGAUCUCGACUCAAUAAAGUCCAUCGAAUUAAUUUCUCGUAAGUAUAUAGAGCCCGCUGCGGGAGGAGACCGAAUCCUAUUAGCGAGCUUCGCUCGAACAAUGGAUUACACGGUUCUUCGUCAAACGUGCACAUUUAGUAUGUUGCAUCUAAAUAACUUUCAGUUACGAUCGUUGUUUACAGAAUAAUCCUAUUAUCUCUCCAAAUGCAAAAUCAUGCCCGUUUCAAGAGAAGGAGAAACACGACACGGAGGAGAAACACGUGAGGAUUGUUGGAAUUUGCCGAGAAUAUCGAGAAAAUAUAACCAUUGUCGCAGUGGUGCGUUUUGUUUCAAUUUUGCAGAUUGCUUCGCUUACAACGAUCGUCGACGUUCUCAUGCCGCGAAUGUUACUGGUCCUUAAUUAGAGACGCAUAAAAGAAAUCUGAAUUAAUGUUACAUAUAUUCGUGGCGAUGCAAACAAUCGGUGAUCUUGAUUGUUUGGAACUGCGAUGUAAUUCAAAGAUAUAGAAACUAUUUCGAAGAACGUAACAAAACCUUUUGAUAUUUAGGUGAUGCAAAUUAUAACCGAUCAAGUGUAAAACACGAGAUUGCACGUUGACGUGAUUCAA
rnacentral:misc_RNA from 1 species